rnacentral:lncRNA from 1 species
AAAAGAAAAAGAAAAAGAAAAAGAAAAAGAAAAAGAAAAAGAAAAAGAAAAAGAAAAAGAGAAAGAGAAAAAGAAAAAGAAAAAGAAAAAGAAAAAGAAAAAGAAAAAGAAAAAGAAAAAGAAAAAGAAAAAGAAAAAAAAAGAAAAAGAAAAAGAAAAAGAAAAAGAAAAAAAAGAGAAAAAGAAAAAGUUUCUUAACAUCAUAUGUCAUCACUUGGACUCUUUCAAAGAAUUUUAAAUCUGGUAGAGGAGGAGAAUGACACAUUAUGUUUUUCUUUUUUCUUUCCUGCAGUUUCUAAUAUCAUCACGUGAACAAGAGAAUAGAUCUGUAGCUACCAUGCUGCUUCUGUCUGACGUGUGAUAACAAUCAUCAGAAACAAUAGCCCUUCUGCCAUAAGGCUGCUUAAGCAGGGGGAAAAAUUUAGAUGAUAAGUCAUCUUAGACUAGUAUUCAUUACUCAUAAAUCCAUUUUUUUGGGUGUUCCAAAGUCACUCGAGAGAAGAAAUCUCCUGGAAGCUUCAAUUAUCCUGGAGAAGAAGCCACCCUCACAGACAUGUAUCUUUGUCACCUUCAUAUUCAUUGCAGAGUAAAAGCUCCUUCUUUCCAGGAGAGAGAGUUCAAUAGAGAUUCAGUAAUGGCUGGAGCCUUCUGUUGUUGUCAAACCAUGUAAUAUAAUAAUACAUAAUCAUAAUAAUAUUAAAACACUGCUCUCUUUUGAUCUUCUUUUGCUAUUAACUAGCAAAUUAUUAAAUUAUUAAUUAAUUAAUUAUUUAAAUAAGCUAUUUUUUGAUCCUGUGUUAUUCUAUCACAAAGUGAAAAAAUGCAUACCAUUUGAUGACCUCAGAAGUUAUUAAAAAGCAUUUCAUAUUUCCAGAAGCAGCUAUUACAUUGUAGGAUAGUUUUGUAUAGGUUUAUCUUUUUUUUUCCACUUCUGAUUGCAGAAAUGAUCCUAAAACUUCUAUCAGCUGAAGAAUCUGGGGAAUCUAUUAUAUUGACUGUUCAAAACAAAUGUUGAAACAAUUUUGAAGUCAAGAAUUAACUAAAACCCUACAACAAAAUACUGCAUUAUUUUCCAUCACACAAGAAGUGAGAGCUACAGAAAAUGUAGAGUUAUGGCCUUUUCCAGAAAAGAAAAGCAGAGUCACAUUAAGAUGUCCUGAGUUUGCAGUAGACUACAUUUGGUUUAAUGUAAUUUUAGGCUUAUGAAUGGUAAUAAAUCUGAAUAGCAAAGAAACA